GAUGAACGCUGGCGGCGUGCCUAAUACAUGCAAGUCGAGCGAACGGACGAGAAUCUUGCUUCUCUGAUGUUAGCGGCUGACGGGUGAGUAACACGUGUAUAACCUACCUAUAAGACUGGUAUAACUUCGGGAAACCUUAGCUAAUACCGGAUAAUAUUUUGAACCUCAUGGUUCAAAAGUGAAAUACGGUCUUUCUGUCACUUAUAGAUGUAUCCGCGCUGCAUUAGCUAGUUGGUAAGGUAACGGCUUACCAAGGCAACGAUGCAUAGCCGACCUGAUAGGGGGAUAGGGGAAACGGGAACUGAGAAACGGUCAAGAGGCCGACGGGAGGCAGCAGAAGGGAAUCUUCGGCAAUGGGGGAAAGCAUGACGGAGCAAAGCGGCGUGAGGGAUGAAGGUCUUCGGAUCGUAAAACUCUGUUAUUAGGGAAGAAAAUAUGUGUAAGUAACUGUGCACAUCUUGACGGUACCUAAUCAGAAAGCCACGGCUAACUACGUG
rnacentral:rRNA from 1 species